rnacentral:rRNA from 1 species
GUAGGGUGCAAGCGUUAUCCGGAUUUAUUGGGCGUAAAGGGCUCGUAGGCGGUUCGUCGCGUCCGGUGUGAAAGUCCAUCGCUUAACGGUGGAUCCGCGCCGGGUACGGGCGGGCUUGAGUGCGGUAGGGGAGACUGGAAUUCCCGGUGUAACGGUGGAAUGUGUAGAUAUCGGGAAGAACACCAAUGGCGAAGGCAGGUCUCUGGGCCGUUACUGACGCUGAGGAGCGAAAGCGUGGGGAGCGAACAGGAUUAGAUACCCUGGUAGUCCACGCCGUAAACGGUGGAUGCUGGAUGUGGGGCCCUUUUUCCGGGUCCUGUGUCGGAGCUAACGCGUUAAGCAUCCCGCCUGGGGAGUACGGCCGCAAGGCUA